UACAGAGGUCUCAAGCGUUGUUCGGAUUCAUUGGGCGUAAAGGGUGCGUAGGCGGUAUGGUAAGUCGGAUGUGAAAUCUUGGGGCUCAACCCCAAAACUGCAUUCGAUACUGCUGUACUUGAAGACUGAAGAGGAGAUUGGAAUUCACGGUGUAGCAGUGAAAUGCGUAGAUAUCGUGAGGAAGACCAGUGGCGAAAGCGAAUCUCUGGGCAGAUCUUGACGCUGAUGCACGAAGGCCAGGGGAGCAAAC
rnacentral:rRNA from 1 species